UAUGUGAUCGUCUCUCGCAUAUCAAUAAGCGGAGGAAAAGAAACUAACAAGGAUUCCCCUAGUAACGGCGAGUGAAGCGGGGAAGAGCUCAAAUUUGAAAUCUUAAAGGGUUUCCCUUUACGAAUUGUAGUUUAAAGAAGUGUUUUCUGUUGAGGUUUUGGUAAAAGUUCUUUGGAAUAGGACAUCAUAGAGGGUGAGAAUCCCGUAUUUGACCUUUACUUUCAACUUUGUGAUACACUUUCAAAGAGUCGGAUUGUUUGGGAAUGCAGUCCAAAAUAGGGUGGUAAAUUUCAUCUAAAGCUAAAUAUUGGCGAGGAGACCGAUAGCGAACAAGUACCGUGAGGGAAAGAUGAAAAGAACUUUGAAAAGAGAGUUAAACAGUACGUGAAAUUGUCAAAAGGGAAGCGUUUGACACCAGUGUUGUUUUUCUGAAAAUCAAUUAAAGAACUGUUUAUGCUAAGUUGUUUAGACUUUAUCAGCUAACUGUUUAGUUUUGAGCUUUUCUUUAAUGCACUUUUCAGUUAACAAGUCAUCACCAAUUUCUUUUGCUGUAAAAAAGCUUGAGGAAGGUGGCUUGAGAUUCGUCUUAAGUGUUUAUAGCCUCUUGCCUAUGCAGUCGGAGAGAUUGAGGUCUGCAGCGUAGAUCCUUCGGGGCUAAAUGCAUUUGUGCUAAGUUAUAGCAUUUUAUAGACAACUUGUUGACUAUGAUUUGUCUUGUAGCUUACUCGCUUAUGUUAUUUUACCUACGCUUAGGAUGUUGAAGAUAUGCGCGACACG
rnacentral:rRNA from 1 species